CAGCUGUUCUAUUUGGGUCGCUUAUUAAGAAUCAGCUGGUAACUCAUCUUGCACUUGGUAUUGCCUUGCGAGCUGUCUUGGAUGCGUUGCGCAAGCCUGCUGAUUCGAAGAUGUUUGUUUUUGGGAUUUUGGCACUUGAACAGUUCGUUGAUCGUCUGAUUGAAUGGCCCCAAUACUGCAACCAUAUCUUGCAAAUAUCUCAUCUCCGAGUAGCUAAUCCAGAG
rnacentral:misc_RNA from 1 species